rnacentral:snRNA from 1 species
CUUAAAGUAGAAGCGAGGAUUGU